rnacentral:lncRNA from 1 species
AAAGAAAGAAUAUGAAAGACAGAAAGAAUUAGCGCUGAGGAGAAAAGAGGAAGAAAGGCAAAGACAGAAGAUAGAUCCAUAUGCUCCACGUGAUUUUGAUGAUGAAGACGAGGAGGACCGAAGAAUAUCCAGAAGAGACAGAAACAGCGGAAGCUGACAAGGAGGCGUGGGAACUUGCAUAAUGUUU